rnacentral:rRNA from 1 species
CAGUCGCCGCGGGAAUACGGAGGGGGCUAGCGUUGUUCGGAAUUACUGGGCGUAAAGCGCACGUAGGCGGCUUGGUAAGUUAGAGGUGAAAGCCUGGAGCUCAACUCCAGAAUUGCCUUUAAGACUGCCGAGCUAGCAGGUGAGAGAGGUAAGUGGAAUUCCGAGUGUAGAGGUGAAAUUCGUAGAUAUUCGGAAGAACACCAGUGGCGAAGGCGGCUUACUGGCUCAUACUGGACGCUGAGGUGCGAAAGCGUGGGGAGCAAACAGGAUUAGAUACCCGGGUAGUCCCUGUCUCUUAUAC